rnacentral:rRNA from 1 species
GACGAACGCUGGCGGCGUGCUUAACACAUGCAAGUCGAACGGAAAGGCCCUGCUUUUGUGGGGUGCUCGAGUGGCGAACGGGUGAGUAACACGUGAGUAACCUGCCCUUGACUUUGGGAUAACUUCAGGAAACUGGGGCUAAUACCGGAUAGGAGCUCCUGCUGCAUGGUGGGGGUUGGAAAGUUUCGGCGGUUGGGGAUGGACUCGCGGCUUAUCAGCUUGUUGGUGGGGUAGUGGCUUACCAAGGCUUUGACGGGUAGCCGGCCUGAGAGGGUGACCGGCCACAUGGGGACUGAGAUACGGCCCAGACUCCUACGGGAGGCAGCAGGGGGGAAUAUGGCAGAAUGGGCGGAAGCCUGAUGCAGCAACGCCGCGUGCGGGAUGACGGCCUUCGGGUGGUAAACCGCUUUCGCCUGUGACGAAGCGUGAGUGACGGUAAUGGGUAAAGAAGCACCGGCUAACUACGUG